AGCAUCUAAUUCAGGAAAGGUUGUCUCUGUGUUAUGAGGCAGCAGAAGUGUUUGCAAGUCCAAAGAAGAGAACAAAUGGAAACGUAAUAUGUUGAAAAGUCUAAAGGAAAACUCGGGUGAGCCUGGGGAGAUGGACUAAUAGGAAGAAAAAGAUACUGAAUGCGGGAGGAAGAAGAAUCACAGAACUGAGUAAGCUAUAAAAGUUAAUGAAGGUCCACUCACAAGGAAGUAAGAGGAAGUUGAGUACUUUUUCACCAGCUAGCUUCACUUAUCUCAGUGAAGAGAGUUUGUUCCUUUUUGCCCUUCUGCCUUCUGUCACGUGAGGAAGCAGCAAAAAGGCCCUCACCUAAUGCCAUAUGCCAUCACCUUGAUCUUGGACUUCACAGCCUUCAUAAAUGUGAGAAAUAAAUUCCUGUUCUUUAUAAAUUACUCAGUUUCAGGUUUUCUGUUAUAGCAGCACAAAAUGGACUAGGAUAAAUGGACAAAAAGAUCUAUUUAAGGAAAACCAAAGUUAUAUUCUAACAGCAUCAAUACAUAAACUGAGGUUGGAAACACUUAUAGUGGCAUCAAUAUGCAAAUAUGGCAUAAUAUUUUCCAGAAUGGUUCACUAGCAGAGUGAACCAUGCUCAAAGAAUUACCUAUGUAUAUAUAGCUAAUUCUUAUAUAUAAACAUGUAUGUAUAUUUUGCUCUUCUUCUGCCACUUCAUAUAUUUUACAUUAUUUCUUCAUGCCUUACAGAAUCACACUUCAUUAAAAAGUCUCUUGUCGUCCUCUUUUCUCUGCCUUCAUGUUAGGAGUUAAGCAUUUUCCUCAGUAUGCUACAUCAUAGAUAUAGAUCUACUGGCAUACUUAGCUGUGCUCUUAUCAUUGGCCAACUGGGCUGUCUUCCUCUGUAUCAUGAGACUACCUGGAGAGCAGAAGCUGUACCUUUUAUCUAUGAUUCCCAGGGCACAGAUAACCCAGGUACAUAAAGGCAGUCAUCACAAGUCGGCUGAAUGCAUUAAGUGGAAUUUCCUUUUUACAUAUACUGAAGUGACAAUACUAGUGUAUCAAUAGAAUAUUGGCUAAAAUAUUUUGUCUUCAUAUUGUGAGAUAUAUAUGUAUAUGCAUACAUACACAUACACAUAUAUAUUCAUUUUUGUAUGUAUUUUCUAUUUUUUACUUUAUAUAUACAUACUUUAUUUUUAGAGCACUGCAUGCAAUACAAAGCUGAGUAGAAGGUACAAGUUUUUCCACAUAUCCCCUGCUUCUGUGUACGUAUAGCCUCCCCUAUUAUCAACAUCCCCCACCAGAGUGAUACAUUCACUAUAAUUGGUGAAACUAUGUUGAUACCUUAUUAUUACCUAAAGUCCAUAGUUUAUAUUUGGACUCACUCUCAGUGUUGUCCAUUCUGUGGGUUUGAACAAAUGUAUAAUGACAUGUAUCCACCAUUAUGAUAUUAUACAGAGUAGUUCCACUGCCCUAAAAAUCUUCUGCCCUCCUCCUAUUCAAUCCUGCCUCCCCCAUCUUCUGAAACUUUUUAGUGUUUCCAUAGUUUUGCCUUUUCCAGAAUGUCAUAUGGUUGUAUGCAUGAUUUUCAGAUUGACCUUUUCCACUCACUAAUAUGCAUUAAAGUGUCUUGCAUGGCUUUUCAUGGCUUGAUAGGCCACUUCUUUAUAACACUGAAUAAUAUCCUAUUGGCUGGAUAUACCAAUGUUUAUUAAUCCAUUCACAUACUGAAGGGCAUUUUCAUAGCUUCCAGGUUUUGGUAAUUAUUAAUAAAGCUGCUAUAAACAUACCUAUGCUGGUUCUUGUGUAGUCAUAAAUUUUCAGCUCCUUUGAGUAAAUACCAGAAAGCAUGAUUGCUGAAUCUCAUGGCAAACGUAUAUCUAGUUUUGUAAGCAUCUGCCAAACUGUCUCCCAAAGUAGCUGUGCUAUUUUGUAUUCCCAUCAGCAAUGAAUGAGAAUUCUUCUUCUUCCACGUCCUUGCCAGCAUUAGAGUUCUGGAUUUGGGGCAUCCUAAUAGGUGCCUCAAGUGAAGCCCCAAAGACUCUUCACAUCAAGUGAAGCACCUUUUCAUUUGGUUGGUUUUCAUCUGUAUAUCUUUUUUGGUGAGGUAUUUUUUAAGGUCUUUGGCCCAUUUUUAAGAAAUUGGU
rnacentral:lncRNA from 10 species